UUGCUCUGAAGUGGAAGCUAAUGAAAUUGACGAUAUUACCCACUCAUCGGAUUUCGAUCGAACAACUGAAGGGGCUCCAACACCUACUGGAUCAGAGCCCCAGUUUUGACAUGUGUCACGUCUUCACGCUUGAACGUUCCAAGAUCGUCCACAUCUUCUCUUUUGUGGCAACGUACGUUGUGAUCUUCAUGCAGUUCCUUAGUGCUGAGAAAAACUGAAGAUGGGAGAUGUACGUUAACUGAUCCAUGGAGCCGAGGGAACAUUCAAGAACCAAUUAAAGUUUCGCUUUGAAGGGAUCCUCGUUCGUACUCAUUUAUGCCGUUUUUCCAACUAAAAAACGAAAAAGGCUUUUCUUUGAAAAAAAAGGGGAAAUGCAUUUCUUUUAAAAGGAAGAAAGGUUUAAAUGAGCAUCAAUGAAGUUGCCUUCAAAAUAAAAUAAAUCAUACCUUUUCCUAUAACCUUUUUCCUUUUAAAAGAAAAAAGGUUUAAAUGAGUACCAAUGAGGUGACCUUCAGAGCAAAUGUGCACAGCAGAGCAUUACAUUUCCUUCGAUGUCAUAGAUAUAUUCGAGUAAAGUAUGAAAAAAAAGAACCUGUUUGCGAGGCUGCAUGUAUUAUGCAUCACUUUUUUUCAAUUUUAUUGCCUAAAUGUUGAAAUCAUCAUAAAAACGUAAUUGGAAUACAUGUACCAAGAUUCAGAGCUCAAUCUUAUCAUCUUCAUGGUCAAAGGAUCGCUCUACAAAUGACUAACCUAAAAUUUAUACUCACGUAAUUGUCAUUUAUUUCUAGUGUACCCAAGAAUGGUACCAUUUUGGAACUAAUGUUGAAGGUUGCCGAGUUAGUAUAUGUAUUCGAUAAUUAUUCGGCGUGAAAAGUCAAGUGAAAUGUCUUUUGAAAUAUUAAAUUUUGUGCCAGAAUCUCCCGAGUAUAGAGAAUAAUCAAAUUUAACCUUAUUCGAUUGGUGCUUCGGUCACAAUUGAGACGAUGAUUAUUUCGUUCGUCGUUGUUGGAAACGACACUAUUAAAAUUCCUACUCGGUAGUGAAAGUCAAAAUCCCAGGAAUAGAAUAGUUUACUCAAAGUUCAUAUCAAAAUAUUCAUGUAUUAUUAAUCAUUUCAAAAUAUGUCUCAAAAUACUAAAAGUUAAAGUCCACAUUCAAGGACAUUUCGUAUUUUAAGCACUAUUUCCGGCACCAAUGUAGGUAACGUAUUUGUAUGUCCCUUAGAUCAG